CUGCAUGAAAGGCAACAUGGGGCAGCAAAUAACUAGCUAGCCUUGGAAUCAGGAACAUCCGAGUUCAAGUCCUGCAUCUGACCUUACUGGCUGUUUGGACUUUAUCUCAGCUCUCUAAGCAGCUCUCUAAGAUCAUAAGAGAAUGAAUAUUAAGCAUUGGUUCCAAGGCCGAGAGUGGUAAAGGCUACCCAAUGGAGACAGUUUCAGGGGACAAAUGAAGGAUUCCCCUAAGUCAGUCUGACCUGAGAAGAUCAUCCCUGAUGACCACUGUUAAAGAUGGCAGCAAAUGCCAGCUCUGCUGAUGCCAUAGGGUGAAAGACACAAUAACAAGGCACAGAGCCCAGGGAGCCGGGAGGAAACGCUUCAUUUAAGGAAGGGCACGGGACCAUUAAGCAUGAGCUCAGCCUUCAUGCUCCGGCCACUUUGCCAAGAGGCACCUUUAAGGCUGGGGCUAAGGGAAGAGGACUUCUAGCAGAGAGGACCACUUGGCAGCUGCUUCCUUUUCUAGCACAGACUAGAUGGUCUCUGAGGCCCCUUCCAGCUCUGAAAUGCUGUCAAUUGUAUUUCUGUUGAGAGGUCCUGGAUAGAGAGCGCUGGUCUCAGAGUAAAGAAGACCUGAGAUCAAGACCUGCCUCUGACGAAGAAUGGCACUGUGCUCCUGGGCAAGUCAUUUUACCUCUCUCUGCCUCAGUUUCCUCAACUAUAAAAUGGGGAGAAUAGUAGUAACUACCUGUCAGGGUUGUGGUGAAUGCCAAAUGAGAUAAUAUUUGUAAAAUAAUAAGCACGUUGCCUGGAAAACAGUGAGUAC
rnacentral:lncRNA from 1 species